GAUGAACGCUGGCGGCGUGCCUAAUACAUGCAAGUCGAACGAGAGCGACCGGUGCUUGCACUGGUCAAUCUAGCGGCGAACGGGUGAGUAACACGUGGGUAACCUGCCCAUCAGAGGGGGAUAACAUCCGGAAACGGAUGCUAAAACCGCAUAAGUCUUCGAGCCGCAUGGCUCGAAGAGGAAAAGAGGCGCAAGCUUCUGCUGAUGGAUGGACCCGCGGUGCAUUAGCUAGUUGGUGAGGUAACGGCUCACCAAGGCCGUGAUGCUUAGCCGACCUGGGGGGUGAAUCGCCAACAUGGAAACGGGAACAGGGCCCGAACCCCUAGGGAGGGCGGCAGUGGGAAAUCUUCGGCAAUGGAGGCAGCUCUGACGAGGCAACGCCGCGGGAGGAAAGAGGGUUUUGGGUUCGAAAAACCCUUUUGUUGGAGAAAAACAAGGGCUAGAGAAACGGUUAGCGCCUGGACGUAAUCAAACCAGAAAGCCACGGCUAACUAGUG
rnacentral:rRNA from 1 species